UACGUAGGUGGCAAGCGUUGUCCGGAAUUACUGGGCGUAAAGGGCGCGUAGGCUGCUCGCUAAGUCGGGUGUGAAAACUCUGGGCUCAACCCAGAGCCUGCAUUCGAAACUGACGAGCUAGAGUUCUGGAGGGGAAAGCGGAAUUCCUGGUGUAGCGGUGAAAUGCGUAGAUAUCAGGAGGAACACCGGUGGCGAAGGCGGCUUUCUGGACAGAAACUGACGCUGAGGCGCGAAAGCUAGGGGAGCAAACAGG
rnacentral:rRNA from 1 species